rnacentral:rRNA from 1 species
GACGAACCGUGCGAACGUUAUUCGGAUUUAUUGGGCUUAAAGAGUGCGUAGGUGGCAGUGUAAGUCGGGGGUGAAAUACUAUCGGCUCAACCGUGGAAUUGCCUUCGAUACUGCAUUGCUUGAGUUCGGGAGAGGUGAGUGGAAUGCCGAGUGUAGAGGUGAAAUUCGUAGAUAUUCGGCGGAACACCAGUGGCGAAGGCGGUCUGCUGGGCGGUGGAUCCGCAAGGGUCCAAUAGCCGACACUGAGGCGCGACAGCGUGGGGAGCAAACAGG